ensembl:snRNA U6 U6 spliceosomal RNA
GUGUUUACUUCAGCAGCAUGUAUACUAAAAUUGGAACGAGACAGAGAAGAUUAGCAUAACCCCUGUGCAAGGAUGACAUAUAAAUUUGUGAAGCAUUCCAUAUUUUC